GACGGAGGAUGCAAGCGUUAUCCGGAAUUAUUGGGCGUAAAGAGCUCGUAGGCGGUUUGUCGCGUCUGCUGUGAAAACUCAGGGCUUAACUCUGAGCUUGCAGUGGGUACGGGCAGACUAGAGUGCGGUAGGGGAGACUGGAAUUCCUGGUGUAGCGGUGAAAUGCGCAGAUAUCAGGAGGAACACCGGUGGCGCAGGCGGGUCUCUGGGCCGUAACUGACGCUGAGGAGCGAAAGCAAGGGGAGCGAACAGG
rnacentral:rRNA from 1 species